AAAUAAAAGCAGAAGCACCCGCUUCUCGCCUUAGUUGAGAAAAUCACUGGGCUAGAUAGUUUUUACUUGUUUUACAGGUAAAGUACAUGCGGGUUCUAUAGAGGAACUCGUUUUUUUUAUGGCCG
rfam:Enterococcus faecalis 13-SD-W-01 genomic scaffold Scaffold400, whole genome shotgun sequence.